rnacentral:misc_RNA from 1 species
GAAAUAUUCCCUCUUUUUUCUGGUAUUUUGCUUCUGCUUUGGAGCUUUCUAAUUAUUUAUCUACGCCAUGUUUGGUGGAAGCCUGAAAGUUGUAGAAUAAAGCUUAGGGAGCAAGGGAUCACAGGUCCUCCACCUUCUAUGAUAUUGGGAAACAUUCCAGAAAUGAAGAGAAUGGUGUCUCAAAUUUCUGAAACUCCAAAGAUAGAUGGUUGUUUAACUGUCUUGCCAUAUUUCCAGCACUGGACCAACAACUUUGGAAAAUUAUUCAGAUUUGAACUUGGUGGAAUACAAUUGUUAUACGUGAGUAAUCUAGAGCUGGUGAAGGAAAUAAGUCGCUUUAGAUCAUUGGACCUUGGGAAACCUGCAUACCUGCAAAAUGAAAGAGGAGCUUUAUUGGGCAAGGGCCUUAUUACAGCAAAUGGUGCAGUUUGGUCUCAUCAGAGAAAGACCAUUGCUCCACAGCUCGGCACGGAGAAGGUUAAGGAUAUGGUGAAGUUGAUGGUGGAGUCUGGUGAUACACUAGUUAAAACGUGGGAGCAGAUAAUUGACAGCGAGGGUGAGGAUGGGAUUGUCGAGAUCAUGGCGGAUCAGCAUGUGAGAAACUUUACCUCUUACAUAGCUUCAAAAAUGCUGUUUGGGAAUGAUCACCAUAAAGGAAUAAAAAUAUUUCCCAAGUGUCAAGCUCUUAUUAACGCCAUGGGUGGUGCUACAACUCUUGGGAUUCCCUUAUCGAGAUUUCUCCCCACCAAAGCAAAUAGAACAGCGUGGAAAUUAUCCAAAAAGAUUCAUGGCAUGAUUAUGGACAUAGCUAAGGAGAGAAUUGGAUCUACAUCUGAGGACAUGUUACAAGUGAUCCUAGAAGGUGCCGAGAAUGGUGAGCUUUGGCCAUUAACAAAAGAUGAGUUCAUAGCUGACAACUGCAAAGAUGUCUUCUUUGGUGGCUAUGAACCACCUGCUCUUGCAGCAAUUUGGGGUUUAAUGCUGUUAGCUUCGCAUCCUGAAUGGCAAGCUCGUGCUCGUUCUGAGGUUCUAGAGGUCUGUGAGGGCCAACAGAUCCUAGAUUACAAUAUGCUUACCAAGAUGAAAGUGUUAAAAAUGGUGAUCCAAGAGGUUUUGCGGCUUUAUCCAGGAGUAGCAUUGGCAUCAAGGCAGGCCUUGCAAGAAGUGAAGAUUGGUGAUGUGCAGGUUCCAAAAGGCGUAGGAAUUUGGAUAUUCCCAUUAGCAUUACAUCGUGACCCUGAGCUUUGGGGACCUGAUGCAGACGUGUUUAAUCCCGAGAGGUUCAUUAAUGGAGUUACAGGAGCUUGCAAGUCUGCACAAGCCUAUAUACCUUUUGGCUUGGGAGCUCGAAUUUGUCCUGGACAGAACAUGGCUAUGAUAGAAUUGACAGUGCUGUUUGCUCUCAUAUUGUCCAAUUUCAACCUUACCAUCUCUCCUAAUUAUCGUCACUCUCCAAAAUUUGGUCUUCUUUUGGAGCCUGAGCAUGGUUUGAAACUUCUCGUUCGAAAGAUAUAACUGCUUUGCCUGAUUUAGCAUCGUACGCAUGUAAUUGUGCUGAAUAAGUCUUUGAAAUAUGUAAGUGCUUAGAAAUGUGUAUGGAGUGAUUAAAAAUGUGUAUAGUAUGCUUAGUAAUUUGUGUGAAGUAUAUA